AUGUAUGGAGGGAACGAGCAGAAGUUGUUCGAAGAUUUAUUCAAGAAUUAUAAUAAGCUGGUCCGUCCUGUGUGGAACUCAUCACACGCCAUCAACGUUACACUUACGUUAUCCAUCAACCAAAUCAAUAACAUGGAUGAAAGGAACCAAGUUUUGACGUUAAACGUAUGGAUAGAACAGCAUUGGGACGACCAGAAGCUCGUUUGGGAUCCAGAAGCUUAUGAGGGAAUUGAAAUCUUGCGUAUCCCAGCCACAGAGAUCUGGAUACCAGACGUCACCCUCUACGACAACGCUGAUUCGAACGACUACGUGGCCCACAGUCGGCAGUCAAACGCUCUCGUCAACCAUGGCGGCACGGUGGAUCUUUGGUCCAAGCCUGCCUUGGUCAAGAGCACCUGCAAGAUUGGCGUCAAAUUCUUCCCAUUUGACGAGCAGAUGUGCAGCAUGAAGUUUGGCUCUUGGACCUACAACAGCUUCCAGAUGAGUCUUGACAAGCACAAGCCCGAACCCGAUCUUUCAACUUUCGUCAACAACGAGCAAUGGGACCUCAAAUUCGCCGUCUCGCGGCGCCACAACGUCAAAUACAAAUGCUGUCCUGAACGUUAUCACGACGUCACCUUUUAUAUCGGGAUGAGGCGGAAACCACUGUACUACAUCUACAACCUAAUCAUGCCUUGUAUUCUGUUAUCGUCGCUGUCAAUGUUGGGUUUCUUUAUGCCUUAUGACGUGGGUGUGGUCAAGGUGUCCCUUAGCGUAACACUCAUCUUAUCCUUGACUGUCUUCUUGCUACUGGUUGCCGAGAUGAUGCCAAGAACAUCAGAUGAAGUUCCUUUAAUUGGACAAUAUUACGCAGCGACCAUGUUCCUCAUAUCCCUGUCUACCGCCAUGAAUGUAUUUGUGUUGAACGUGAACGAGCGAGGAAAGAUCGAAGGACAGGACGUGCCGCGAUGGCUUCGCAUCCUUGCUCUCGAUUACUUCGCCAAGGUUCUAUGCGUGCAGUCAUGUGGUUCCGGGUCGCGGCGAACAGGACGCGACAGUUCCGACUAUAGACAGUAUGGUGGUCAUUACACCACGCACAACUUUCAAAAUGGCAGCCAUCAGCGAACAGAUACGGGGCAUGCCACUUUAAAUCAAUACAACCAAACACCGAGCCGGAACAGCAUGCAUGUUCGCUUCGGCACGGCGACGACGCCUGGCAACGAGUCAGAUAUGCUUCUCGAGGACAGGGACGUCGGUGGCGGGAUGGGGGAACUGGAGUCCAUGCAGGACCGGCGCCUGGGAAGACUGGAACGAAGCGUCACCGAUAUCUUUAAACAUAUGAAAAACCUGCAGAAGAAGCGGGAGAGACAAAACCAAUUGAAAUCAGAUUGGGGAAAGGUAGCACAGGUACUGGACAGGGUAUUACUUGUUGUCUUCGUACUCUGUACAGCAGCAACGGCCCUCGUGUUGCUUCUAAGGCGAACACCGGGAGUUGAACCACCGCCAGAGGAAUAGACCCAGAGAAAGAAAUUACUCCAAAACUGAUUUGAAUAGUGUUUAUAUUGAUAUGAAUGAGGAGAACAUAAAUUAUUAUUGUAAUACCUUGUUGACGCUGGUGAAAGCAGAUGUGAUGUUCAAGAUAUUGGUACAAUGCCAGUGUUAUCCGCAGCAAUGAUCGCUCCGCAGUUAUGAGUUUUUGCAACUGCAACGGGGACAGAUUCAAGAACACAGUAAAUGUAUUAAAAAUGUCCGUCGAAUGACAACAGCUGGGUGGACUUUGUCGAAAACUUAUGAACCGGAACAGCAGUUUCGUCCUAAGUUUCUGAGCUGACGAAUAAUUGCAAAUAUGUUGUUUGUCCAGAGUCCAGGACGAAACUGCCGUUUUAAUUCAUCGAUUUUCCACAAACACUUUUUGGUUUUGUAUUGUCUUUAUCUGCAUUUGACAAUACAUUUUCUUCGUUCUUGAAGGCGUCGUGGAAGUCAAAACUCCCUAAUACAGCACAUUAGCUCAGCAGCAGCUGCUUGGUGUAAACUGCUUCCAGCUGUCGUGAUGAUGAGCAGAAAUUAUGACGUCAUGGAGCUCCAAAAUAUCGUCUUUACUAUUGGCAAUUGUUGUUAUGCAGUUUUAAAUGUGACGACGCGAUAAAACUUUGUGACUCACGAGAUAUUUUUGAUGCAAUGACUAAAGGGUAACUACAGUAUUGCAACUCAAAUAAUAUAUUUUCUUGGAUUUUUUUUAUCUUAUGUUGUUGUGAUGAGUUUUAUUAAAGCCUGGUUUUCAAGGGACUUACGACUUUUUGCGAAGGUUUGGCAUCGAAGCGAAUGAAAAAAACUAAAUAAUGAGAAGGUCAAACUUUAAUUGAGUAGUGGAGUGUCAUGCGGAAAAAGGCGCCAAACUUGCGCAAAAUUUGAGUUUAAAUGUCUUCGGAAGGUUCGCAUGACAUUCUCCGGAGUCGUUUUUCUUUCGCAAGUAGUUGUAAAAAUCCCAAUGAAAACCAGGCUUUAGUUGUUAUUCCUUUGUAUUAUGUAGUUUGAUGAGCUAUUCGUAAACUUGUUAAAAGGUAAUGUACCUUCGGGCACAAUCGAUAUUUAAGCAUGGUCUUGUAGACUCACCUUUUGAUCUUAUGGCAAUGGGUGGGACAUUCGAAUGUAAAAUGUGAAUAGCAAUAUCUAAUUGUAGUGAAUAACAUUUUAAAAUGGUGCCAAAAAUAAUUUUAAAAAAAUCAAUGCACAUUUAGGCUAUGUUAUAUGCUCAAGAUUCUGCAAAAUUGAUUAUCAUAACUCCAUUACAAAAGGGCAUCAUGAGAGAAUAAAGACUACUGUAACAGGCCUUUUACCGGGAAGAGGGACGAGGCAAUUAAUGCUUACCAUGGGCCAUUUGGGGUGCACGCACACUGCAUAUCAAUAUUCACAACUAUAUUAACUAUUCACGGUCCCCAAGAGAUGAUGCAUGUGGAUCCCCUUUUUUAAAGAGUUGUAGCCUCAUUUACUGAUAUUUGUUGUUGUUCUUUUCAGUUAAUAUUGUUUGACAUAAAAAUCGAUAUAAGAAUAAACACAGCGUGUGGAUAAAACUUUGAGCAUGUAACAGGUGUAAGGGAGGCCUGGGAGAGGUAUGUUGAAGGCAUUGUUACGGGUAUUUCUUAUUUCAUCCAACCUCCCUCCCUGUCCUUCCUUUCUUUAAUUCAUACAUACUUUAUGAGUUUCCGAUUGAAUUCAUUUCGACAACGAGGAUCGGUAAUAGCAGCAUCGAAUGAGAAUAACAUUCAGGGGCCGCGGAAUGGUUUUCAAAGUGGGGGGCUGAGCCAAAAGUGGGGAGGCUGACCAUGCAAAAAAUCACAAUCAUAUGGUAAUUGUUACGUUUUUGUACACGGAUUUUGAAAAAAAAGUGGGGGGCUGAAGCCCCCCCCCCCCCCCGCUUCCGCGGCCCCUGACAUUGAAGUGGGGUCAUAUCAAACCUGAAUAUAAAAAAUGGAUUAUGUUAUGGAUUAUAACAAUAUUGUAUCAAAAAUAUUUUUUUCUGCAGUUCUUCCUACCCACCCCAACCCGCCCCCCCCCCCAAAAAAAAAACAAUCAUCGUCAACCACUGCCACCAGUGUAAUCAUUUCCUUUAUUACUGUUAAUACUUGUACUUAUUCAUUCCUCUUCCUCUUUAGCUUCCAAUACUCUUCGUCCCCCUCUUUUUCCUCAUCAUCUUUUUUUCUUCUUCAAUCUUUUUCUCCGUUGUUCGUCUUUUUCCUCUCACCUUCUCCUCUUUUCCUAUCCACGACUGACGAGGCACGCAGUCGCCAUCAUUCUCCUCACCAUUAUCAUUAACGCCAUCAUCAUCCCCACAAUCAUAAUCCUCAUCACCUUGAAUGCCAAGCAUCAUCAUGAUCGUCAUCACCAACGUCCUCAUCAUCAUUGUCGUGAUCAUUAUCAUUUGGUCUCUUUCCUCUUUAUUCAUGUGUGCCUCUGCUCAUUCGGAUCAUACUUUCACUAAAUUCUCUCGUCUCCGUUGCCAUAGAAACUGUUCAUUCCUUAUGUGGUAUCUCUGGUUCUAAUGGCAUCGCCCAUAUAUUUAAUUCCGCACAUUGGAUAAAAGUUAUAUACGUCACCCUUUUGAAGUGUAACUUCAUUUGCUGGUUCCUAUUAGUCAAUUUCAGAGAUGAAUUACUUUGAAUCGGUUUAAAUAUUGCUGUCUAUUCAUUCAUAACUUACAAUAGGAUGAAUCGCAAUAGGGGAGGGGAUAUGGAAACUUAUGGUUAGCGUGCAUUGAUUCAUGUUUUACAAUCAGUGACAGUAUAACAUUUAACGAUGUGAAAAUUAAACAAAGAAUAUAUGUAUCUUACAAAGUACUGUCAAUCAUUCAGACAAUAUGAUAUAAAUCUUUCUUUUUUUUCUUAGCGACUUAGGUAAGAAGUGUCUAAAUCGCCGUCAAUUCUUGGAAAUGUUCCCAGAAAAUAACCUUUUCUUAACUCGUUUGUAUAUUUCUUGGAAUCAUAAUAUCGCAAUGAAUGGUGUGGAUCGUCAAUUGCGUGUAAUUGAAACGUUCUUGUCCGUACGUUAUUAUUAUUACCAGACUUGCAGGCACGGCGUAUACCUAGAGAUAAUUAAGCAAAUCAGUUAUACCGGUUUAGUAUGUUUGUAGAAUUACCUUAGAAUUACAUUCCAGUUGCAUGACUUGUAGAUACUAUCCAAAGACCUUGACUUGACCAAUGAAAACCUAUUGAUAUUUGCCCAUGGGCACUGUCACAGGAGGGGCAGAGGCGAAAACUCCUAUGGGUUUUUUUUUUUCAAGUAGCAAGUAAAACAAAAAAAAGGGAGAAAAAAGACAGUGGGACAGAAAGUAAGAAAUGUUGGUCCUUUAUAUUAUAAAUCUUUGACAAAAUAAACUUUCGAUGAUGAUGUUUCGCUUUUGCUUUUGUGAGGAGGGUUUUGGUGCAAAAUCGAAAACUAAUUCUUACCAUGUUUUUAUGUUAAAUGAAUGUUAUGUUUGUAUUGCAAUUUUUUCGAGGAUUUACGAACGUUCUGUAUAUAAAGACGGGUUCGUAAUCAAUUUCCUCUAGUACCAAGGUUUCCCUCCCAACUUAUCAGGUGGUCUAAUACCAGCUGUGCUGAUAUGCUUUUGACUAAUGGUCUACUAUAGUAUUUUACAAUUUUCGACUAUUCGGCCUCUGACCAUUUCUUCAUCACAUCGGAGCGUUGCAAGAUACUUACCUUCAAUAUCAAAUCAAGCGUAGGUAGUAGAAAAACGCAAGCGCACAACCUAGGAUUAAAUGCAAAUUUGUAGUUGAUAUGCGCUAAAUUGCAACUUUACUUUCGUGCAAAGUCGCAUUACGCUUUGAAUUUGAGUCUUACGCCCCCCCCCCCCCCACGAUAAGUGAACAUCCAUGAUUUUAAAAAAACCUAGCUAAUCAUGUUUUAGUCUGCGAAACUUAUCUAGUCUACUUAUCAGUCCGCCUAUCAGAGGUCAGAAAGUAUUUUCUAUAUGUUUCUCGUUUGGUCAAGAUGAUGAUGAUAAUGGUGGUAGUGGUUAUGGUGGUGGUGGUGAUUAUAAUGAUGAUGGUUGUGGUGGCAGCGGUGAUUAUGAUAAUGAUGAUGGUUGUGGUGGUGGCGACGGCGGAGAUGCUGCUGCUGCUGAUGAUAGUAAUAAGUGAGGUUAUGGUGGUGAAUUUGGCGAUAAAGGAACAUGUUGAGUAAUAAUUUUGCUGGAAGUGAUGGUGGUGGUAGUUGAUGAUGACUGAACUGGUAUUGUUAAUAUCCAUUGAACUCCUUUCUUCCGGGUGGGAAAAAACCAAAAUAUUUUGUGACCUCUGGUAAUGACAAAAUUAUGUAACUAUUUUAUUUCUCUAAGAAUUGUGGGUGCAUUUUUUUAGCGAGUUGUACGUUUAGAUAACUUAAAAUAUAUAUAUAUAUAUAUAUAUAUACUGCAAAGGUGCCAUGGAAAUCGCAAUGAAAGAAUUGGCGUUCUAAAGAAGAAGCAAACUCCAAUACCACUCAGAGUAUUCAACACUCCAAUAUUAAUAUCAUUAUUGUUAAUCAUAGUAUUCAUACUCUGAUUAAGAGCAAUAGUUUAGGAAAAACUGCCUCUCGCUUUGCUAGAAGGGCUUUUGUUAUUCUCAAGGUCAAUAUUUAAAUAUUUGAUUUAAAAGAAAAUUAGACCAUGUACUUUCUUGAAUGUGUGUUUAUCAAUGAAGAAUGUACCUUUUGAAUUAGCAUACCAACCCAUGAUAUAGUAUUACCCAUGGAAAAACAAUAUUAUUCAUGAAAAAAUGAUAUAAUGUGAAUGCGAGAAUGUGAUAUUGAUAUUGUUAUUUUGUCGCAACAAACACCAUUGUAUGCCAUGCUUUCUUCCAUGAUGAAUAUCGAUGUUAAUAAAAUUUGAUAUUGUG